ACUCCUACGGGAGGCAGCAGUGGGGAAUAUUGCACAAUGGGGGAAACCCUGAUGCAGCCAUGCCGCGUGUGUGAAGAAGGCCUUGGGUUGUAAAGCACUUUCAGUAGGGAGGAAGGUAGUGUAGUUAACACCUGCAUUAUUUGACGUUACCUACAGAAGAAGCACCGGCUAACUCCGUGCCAGCAGCCGCGGUAAUACGGAGGGUGCGAGCGUUAAUCGGAAUUACGUGGGCGUAAAGCGCAUGCAGGCGGCCUGUUAAGUCAGAUGUGAAAGCCCGGGGCUUAACCUCGGAAUUGCAUUUGAAACUGGCAGGCUAGAGUCUUGUAGAGGGGUUAGAAUUUCAGGUGUAGCGGUGAAAUGCGUAGAGAUCUGAAGGAAUACCAGUGGCGAAGGCGGCCCCUGGACAAAGACUGACGCUCAGAUGCGAAAGCGUGGGAGCAAACAGGAUUAGAUACCCCUGGUAGACUGUCA
rnacentral:rRNA from 1 species